rnacentral:rRNA from 1 species
AGAGUUUGAUCAUGGCUCAGAUUGAACGCUGGCGGCAGGCUUAACACAUGCAAGUCGAGCGGAAACGAUGGUAGCUUGCUACCAGGCGUCGAGCGGCGGACGGGUGAGUAAUACUUAGGAAUCUACCUAGUAGUGGGGGAUAGCUCGGGGAAACUCGAAUUAAUACCGCAUACGACCUACGGGAGAAAGGGGGCAGUUUACUGCUCUCGCUAUUAGAUGAGCCUAAGUCGGAUUAGCUAGAUGGUGGGGUAAAGGCCUACCAUGGCGACGAUCUGUAGCUGGUCUGAGAGGAUGAUCAGCCACACCGGGACUGAGACACGGCCCGGACUCCUACGGGAGGCAGCAGUGGGGAAUAUUGGACAAUGGGGGAAACCCUGAUCCAGCCAUGCCGCGUGUGUGAAGAAGGCCUUUUGGUUGUAAAGCACUUUAAGCAGUGAAGAAGACUCCGUGGUUAAUACCCACGGACGAUGACAUUAGCUGCAGAAUAAGCACCGGCUAACUCUGUGCCAGCAGCCGCGGUAAUACAGAGGGUGCAAGCGUUAAUCGGAAUUACUGGGCGUAAAGGGAGCGUAGGUGGCUCGAUAAGUCAGAUGUGAAAUCCCCGGGCUCAACCUGGGAACUGCAUCUGAUACUGUUGAGCUAGAGUAUGUGAGAGGAAGGUAGAAUUCCAGGUGUAGCGGUGAAAUGCGUAGAGAUCUGGAGGAAUACCGAUGGCGAAGGCAGCCUUCUGGCAUAAUACUGACACUGAGGCUCGAAAGCGUGGGUAGCAAACAGGAUUAGAUACCCUGGUAGUCCACGCCGUAAACGAUGUCUACUAGUCGUUGGGUCCCUUGAGGACUUAGUGACGCAGCUAACGCAAUAAGUAGACCGCCUGGGGAGUACGGCCGCAAGGUUAAAACUCAAAUGAAUUGACGGGGGCCCGCACAAGCGGUGGAGCAUGUGGUUUAAUUCGAUGCAACGCGAAGAACCUUACCUGGUCUUGACAUAUCUAGAAUCCUGCAGAGAUGCGGGAGUGCCUUCGGGAAUUAGAAUACAGGUGCUGCAUGGCUGUCGUCAGCUCGUGUCGUGAGAUGUUGGGUUAAGUCCCGCAACGAGCGCAACCCUUGUCCUUAGUUACCAGCGGGUUAAGCCGGGAACUCUAAGGAUACUGCCAGUGACAAACUGGAGGAAGGCGGGGACGACGUCAAGUCAUCAUGGCCCUUACGACCAGGGCUACACACGUGCUACAAUGGUAGGUACAGAGGGCAGCUACACAGCGAUGUGAUGCGAAUCUCAAAAAGCCUAUCGUAGUCCAGAUUGGAGUCUGCAACUCGACUCCAUGAAGUAGGAAUCGCUAGUAAUCGCGGAUCAGAAUGCCGCGGUGAAUACGUUCCCGGGCCUUGUACACACCGCCCGUCACACCAUGGGAGUUGAUUGCACCAGAAGUGG